UACGUAGGGGGCAAGCGUUGUCCGGAUUUAUUGGGCGUAAAGAGCGUGUAGGCGGCCUGAAAGGUCAGCUGUGAAAACUCGAGGCUCAACCUCGAGACGUCGGUUGAAACCAUCUGGCUAGAGUCCGGAAGAGGAGUGUGGAAUUCCCGGUGUAGCGGUGAAAUGCGCAGAUAUCGGGAAGAACACCCGUGGCGAAGGCGGCUCCCUGGGACGGUACUGACGCUGAGACGCGAAAGCGUGGGGAGCGAACAGG
rnacentral:rRNA from 1 species